rnacentral:rRNA from 1 species
AAUUGGAGGGCAAGUCUGGUGCCGGCAGCCGCGGUAAUUCCAGCUCCAAUAGCGUAUAUUAAAGUUGUUGUGGUUAAAAAGCUCGUAGUUGAACCUUGGGCCUGGCUGGCCGGUCCGCCUCACCGCGUGUACUGGUCCGGCCGGGCCUUUCCCUCUGUGGAACCCCAUGCCCUUCACUGGGCGUGGCGGGGAAACAGGACUUUUACUGUGAAAAAAUUAGAGUGCUCCAGGCAGGCCUAUGCUCGAAUACAUUAGCAUGGAAUAAUAGAAUAGGACGUGUGGUUCUAUUUUGUUGGUUUCUAGGACCGCCGUAAUGAUUAAUAGGGACAGUCGGGGGCAUCAGUAUUCAAUUGUCAGAGGUGAAAUUCUUGGAUUUAUUGAAGACUAACUACUGCGAAAGCAUUUGCCAAGGAUGUUUUCAUUAAUCAGGAACGAAAGUUAGGGGAUCGAAGACGAUCAGAUACCGUCGUAGUCUUAACCAUAAACUAUGCCGACUAGGGAUCGGACGGUGUUAUUUUUUGACCCGUUCGGCACCUUACGGGAAACCAAAGUGU